GACGAACGCUGGCGGCGUGCUUAACACAUGCAAGUCGAACGGAAAGGCCCUGCUUGCUGGGUCCUCGAGUGGCGAACGGGUGAGUAACACGUGGGUGAUCUGCCCUGCACUUCGGGAUAAGCCUGGGCAACUGGGUCUAAUACCGGAUAGGAGCCAUUUUUAGUGUGAUGGUUGGAAAGUUCUUUCGGUGUAGGAUGAGCUCGCGGCCUAUCAGCUUGUUGGUGGGGUAAUGGCCUACCAAGGCGGCGACGGGUAGCCGGCCUGAGAGGGUGGACGGCGACAUUGGGACUUAGAGGCGGCCCAGACGCCGACGGGAGGAAGAAGUGGGGAAGAUUGCACAAUGGGCGCAAGCCGGAUGCAGCGGCGCUGCGUGGGGGAUGACGGCCUUCGGGUUGUAGACUCCUUUCGCUAGGGACGAAGCUUUUUGUGACGGUACCUAGAGAAGAAGCACCGGCUAACUACGUG
rnacentral:rRNA from 1 species